AUACGUAGGUGACAAGCGUUAUCCGGAUUUACUGGGUGUAAAGGGCGUGUAGGCGGUUUAGCAAGUCAGAAGUGAAAUUCCCGGGCUUAACUUGGGCGCUGCUUCUGAAACUGCUUUACUUGAGUGCUGGAGAGGAUAGUGGAAUUCCUAGUGUAGCGGUAAAAUGAGCAGAUAUUAGGAGGAACACCGGUGGCGAAGGCGGCUAUCUGGACAGUAACUGACGCUGAGGCGCGAAAGCACGGGGAGCAAACAGGAUUAGAUACCCUGGUAGUCCGUGCCGUAAACGAUGAAUACUAGGUGUAGGGGGUAUCGACUCCCUCUGUGCCGCAGUUAACACAUUAAGUAUUCCACCUGGGGAGUACGGCCGCAAGGUUGAAACUUAAAGGAAUUGACGGGG
rnacentral:rRNA from 1 species